rnacentral:RNase_P_RNA from 1 species
UGAGUUGACUAGACCGUCGUCGCUUAUUUAUUUUCGAAUAAAUGAGGGGAGGAAAGUCCGGGCUCCACAGGGCAGGGUGCCAGCUAACGGCUGGGAGGCGCGAGCCUACGACAAGUGCAGCAGAGAGCAAACCGCCUAAGCGCGUAAGCGCCGGUAAGGGUGAAAGGGUGCGGUAAGAGCGCACCGCGCAGCUGGUAACAGUUUGUGGCAGGGUAAACUCCACCCGGAGCAAGACCAAAUAGGCUUCCUUAAGGUAUGGCCCAUAUCGGAAGCGGGUAGGUUGCUUGAGCCAGUGAGUGAUUGCUGGCCUAGACGAAUGACGGUUCACGACAGAACCCGGCUUAUCGGUCAACUCACCAA